UGGGGAAUUUUGCGCAAUGGGGGAAACCCUGACGCAGCAACGCCGCGUGGAGGAUGAAGUCCUUCGGGACGUAAACUCCUUUCGAUCGGGACGAUUAUGACGGUACCGGAAGAAGAAGCCCCGGCUAACUUCGUGCCAGCAGCCGCGGUAAUACGAGGGGGGCGAGCGUUGUUCGGAAUUAUUGGGCGUAAAGGGUGCGCAGGCGGUUUUGUAAGUCUGUCGUGAAAUCCCCGGGCUCAACCUGGGAAUUGCGAUGGAGACUGCAAGGCUAGAAUCUGGCAGAGGGGGGUAGAAUUCCACGUGUAGCAGUGAGAUGCGUAGAUAUGUGGAGGAACACCGAUGGCGAAGGCAGCCCCCUGGGCUAAGAUUGACGCUCAUGCACGAAAGCGUGGGGAGCAAACAGGAUUAGAUACCCUGGUAGUCCACGCCCUAAACGAUGUCUACUAGUUGUCGGGUCUUAAUUGACUUGGUAACGCAGCUAACGCGUGAAGUAGACCGCCUGGGGAGUACGGUCGCAAGAUUA
rnacentral:rRNA from 1 species